CCAUCGAUGACACCUCAACACGCACAGGCCAGGGAAGUGGGACCCAUUCUACCUGCGAGCCACUACGGCCGCCCCCCUUUAUGAAAUUGUCGGAUAUAAUGGACCAAGGGCUGCCCCCAUCUAUUGGGGAACCUACCAAAAAAGCGGGGAAGAACCAAAAACUUAAUCGGGCACCUUGGGCCCUCUAGCAAACGCACGUCCCCAUAUCCUAUUAGACUACUAUGCGGUGCAACGGCUCACCUAUGCGACAACCCCCCACUGGUCUGACAAUACGACCCCCCACCUUACACACUGAUACACCGCCCAGACUCCUGCGGCGACGGCCCAGAGUCCUAAUAUUAGGCAACGGUCGCAAAUCUUCAUCCAUCCAUGCAAAGUUGUCAUGAAAACAGCCUCCCGUUUGUAAAGAACUUUCACCGAUCAGAAAACUCUUUUAGGUUGUAACCUCACCUACUAAAGUAACUGCCCGAACCUUCACCGUACCUUUCCAUAAAACCACGGCUAACUACUAUGCCUACACUCUCGCUCAUAGCUCGUCGCCCCUCACGGCACGCAGGCGUCCCAAAUCCUCUGUGACGUAAAAAGACACCCAAAAAAUUCCUUGAAAAAAUCCACACCGCCUCGCUACGCACCUAAAAUCGCAAUCCACACCCCGUAUUAAUCCCUCUACCACCGUAUACGUAUAUUCCAUAUCUUCUCAAUUUUAAAUCUCCCUUCAUAGACCCCCAUAAAUCUACCAAUAUAAAGACUCCCCCCCCUUUAAUAACUAAAUCACCCCCCAUACACCCAUAGCAGACAAAAAAUG
rnacentral:rRNA from 1 species